CGACUCUCAGCAACGGAUAUCUCGGCUCUUGCAACGAUGAAGAACGCAGCGAAAUGCGAUACCUGGUGUGAAUUGCAGAAUUCCGCGAAUCAUCGAGUUUUUGAACGCAAGUUGCGCCCGAGGCUUGUCCCGAGGGCAUGCCUGCCUGAGCGUC
rnacentral:rRNA from 1 species